rnacentral:sRNA from 1 species
AUGCAAAUCGCCUGAUAGUUGCUUGUUGGUAUGCGAAUAUAUACAAGUCAGCGAAUAUGCCUCCCCGGCAUAACAGGAA